rnacentral:RNase_P_RNA from 1 species
CGAGUAGAGCAGAUGGUCGCUGAGGCCCCUGAGGCAUCAGAGGAAAGUCCGGACUCCGCAGGGCAGUGUGCUGGGUAAUGCCCAGUGGGGGUGACCCCAAGGAAAGUGCCACAGAAAAUAUACCGCCCUGAGAUUAUUCUCAGGGUAAGGGUGAAAAGGCGAGGUAAGAGCUCACCGCUUCAGCAGUGAUGUUGGAGGCAUGGUAAACCCCACACGGAGCAAGACCAAAUAGGGAAACGCUAUAGUGUGGCCCGCACGAUGUUUCCGGGUAGGUCGCAAAAGGUGUUGAGCAAUUAACAUCUAUAGACAAAUGACCAUCACCCCUCACAGGGGAACAGAAUCCGGCUUAUACUCUGCUCGGGUU